rnacentral:lncRNA from 1 species
CAUCUCUGUUCAUCAUCUGACAUAACAUCUCUCGAUCCCAUUGAACCCUUCACUCUACCAGGGAGAUCCCAUUGGUCCCUUCACUCUACCAGAGAUCCCAUUGGUCCCUUCACUCUACCAGAGAUCCCAUUGGUCCCUUCACUCUACCAGGGAGAUCCCAUUGGUCCCUUCACUCUACCAGGGAGAUCCCAUUGGUCCCUUCACUCUACCAAGGAGAUCCCAUUGGUCCCUUCACUCUACCAGGGAGAUCCCAUUGGUCCAUUCACUCUACCAGGGAGAUCCCAUUGGUCCAUUCACUCUACCAGGGAGAUCCCAUUGGUCCCUUCACUCUACCAGAGAUCCCAUUGGUCCCUUCACUCUACCAGGGAGAUCCCAUUGGUCCCUUCACUCUACCAGAGAUCCCAUUGGUCCCUUCACUCUACCAAGGAGAUCCCAUUGGUCCAUUCACUCUACCAGGGAGAUCCCAUUGGUCCAUUCACUCUACCAGGGAGAUCCCAUUGGUCCAUUCACUCUACCAGGGAGAUCCCAUUGGUCCCUUCACUCUACCAGAGAUCCCAUUGGUCCCUUCACUCUACCAGGGAGAUCCCAUUGGUCCCUUCACUCUACCAGAGAUCCCAUUGGUCCCUUCACUCUACCAAUGAGAUCCCAUUGGUCCCUACACUUUACCAGGGAGAUCCCAUUGGUCCAUUCACUCUACCAGGGAGAUCCCAUUGGUCCAUUCACUCUACCAGGGAGAUCCCAUUGGUCCAUUCACUCUACCAGAGAUCCCAUUGGUCCCUUCACUCUACCAGGGAGAUCCCAUUGGUCCCUUCACUCUACCAGAGAUCCCAUUGGUCCCUUCACUCUACCAGGGAGAUCCCAUUGGUCCCUUCACUCUACCAAGGAGAUCCCAUUGGUCCCUUCACUCUACCAGGGAGAUCCCAUUGGUCCAUUCACUCUACCAGGGAGAUCCCAUUGGUCCAUUCACUCUACCAGGGAGAUCCCAUUGAACAUUUACGACAGACAUCUUUUUUUAAUUUAAAAGUGAACAUUGGGUUUUUAAGCUGGGUGUCUGAAAAACACUGUCACAACUGUUGA